CAUACCUAUUCGAAGGGAUAGGGUCGGUUUGGCCGGAUUUCACACAGGUGUUGCAUGGCUGUCGUCAGCUCGUGUCGUGAGGUGUUGGGUUAAGUCCCGCAACGAGCGCAACCCUCAUCCUUAGUUACCAUCAGGUUAUGCUGGGGACUUUAAGGAAACUGCCAGUGAUAAACUGGAGGAAGGUGGGGAUGAUGUCAAGUCAUCAUGGCCCUUAUGGAGUGGGCUACACACGUGCUACAAUGGUGAUUACAAUGGGCUGCAAGGUCGCAAGGCUGAGCUAAUCCUAAAAAAUCAUCUCAGUUCGGAUUGUUCUCUGCAACUCGAGAGCAUGAAGUUGGAAUCGCUAGUAAUCGUGGAUCAGCAUGCCACGGUGAAUACGUUCUCGGGUCUUGUACGCACUGCCCGUCACGCCAUGGGAAUUGGUUUCACUCGAAGCU
rnacentral:rRNA from 2 species